UACGGAGGGAGCUAGCGUUGUUCGGAAUUACUGGGCGUAAAGCGCACGUAGGCGGAUCCUUAAGUCAGAGGUGAAAUCCCGGGGCUCAACCUCGGAACUGCCUUUGAUACUGGGGAUCUCGAGUUCGAGAGAGGUGAGUGGAACUGCGAGUGUAGAGGUGAAAUUCGUAGAUAUUCGGAAGAACACCAGUGGCGAAGGCGGCUCACUGGCC
rnacentral:rRNA from 1 species